AGGACGAACGCUGGCGGCGUGCCUAAUACAUAGCAAGUCGAACGGUCGUUUCUAUGGAAGCUUGCUUCCACUGAGAAGAUAGUGGCGAACGGGUGAGUAACACGUGGGUAACCUGCCCAUAAGAGGGGGGAGUAACAUCCGGAAACGGGUGCUAAUACCGCAUAGUUUUCUUGGUCGCAUGAUCGGGAAAGGAAAGACGGCCUUUGUGCUGUCGCUUAUGGAUGGACCCGCGGCGUAUUAGUUAGUUGGUGAGGUAACGGCUCACCAAGACGAUGAUACGUAGCCGACCUGAGAGGGUGAUCGGCCACAUUGGGACUGAGACACGGCCCAAACUCCUACGGGAGGCAGCAGUAGGGAAUCUUCCGCAAUGGACGAAAGUCUGACGGAGCAACGCCGCGUGAGUGAAGAAGGUUUUUUCGGAUCGUAAAACUCUGUUGUCAGAGAAGAACAAGUUGGAGAGUAACUGCUCCAGCCUUGACGGUAUCUGACCAGAAAGCCACGGCUAACUACGUGCCAGCAGCAGC
rnacentral:rRNA from 1 species